UACGAAGGGGGCUAGCGUUGUUCGGAAUCACUGGGCGUAAAGGGCGCGUAGGCGGCACGGCAAGUCGGGAGUGAAAGCCCGGGGCUCAACCCCGGAGGGUCUCUCGAAACUGCCGAGCUAGAGUGCGGAAGAGGCAAUCGGAAUUCCCAGUGUAGCGGUGAAAUGCGUAGAUAUUGUGAGGAACGCCGGAGGCGAAAGCGGCGCACUGGAUCUCUUCUGACGCUGAGGCGCGAAAGCUAGGGGAGCAAACGGG
rnacentral:rRNA from 1 species